ACCCUUGGAAGCUCAGACAGUAGAGCAUGAAACUCUUACUCUUAGGGUCAUGGGUUCGAGUCCCAUUUGGGGCA